GGGGUUUGCAGGUUGUUUAGACAGUCUGCUCUCCUUAAAAACAUUUAGCGGAACGUUAUCUGUAGUCCGUUUUAUAGUGUGAUAAUUAUCUACGCUAUACAUGUGUAUUACAUCUUGUUCAGCUUCGAACGGUCCAUUGACUUGGACAACUUCUUGACUAUUUUGACCUCAAAUCAGGUAGGACUACCCGCUGAACUUAA
rnacentral:misc_RNA from 1 species